UAGAAGGUGAUAUAUUUGGAAGUACUGAAAGCUUUGGGCUUUCUGGUUCAAGUUCGACUCUUCAUUUUCUAG
rnacentral:tRNA from 1 species